UACGUAGGGUGCAAGCGUUAUCCGGAAUUAUUGGGCGUAAAGAGCUCGUAGGCGGUUUGUCGCGUCUGCUGUGAAAACUGGGGGCUCAACCCCCAGCCUGCAGUGGGUACGGGCAGACUAGAGUGCGGUAGGGGAGAUUGGAAUUCCUGGUGUAGCGGUGGAAUGCGCAGAUAUCAGGAGGAACGCCGAUGGCGAAGGCAGAUCUCUGGGCCGUAACUGACGCUGAGGAGCGAAAGCAUGGGGAGCGAACAGG
rnacentral:rRNA from 1 species